ensembl:lncRNA
CCCAGAGACCAGAGCCCCCAGCGCACUGCUCAGGGUGCCGGGCACGUCUGGCGCUUUGUAGUCGUGGGAUCACGUGAAUGUCUGUGCUCUGCCUGCCCCUCCUGCUGGCCUGUCAGCAGGGGCCGCAGUGUCACUGACCACAUACCUGGCAGGCUGGUGGGCCAGCUCCGAGGUGGGCAGAGCGCAGAGCUGUACCUGGGCCGCCCAUGCGCCGGGCCCAGGCCCAGACCCGGCCACCCUCCAGGGCUUGUGUACCAGCUUCUCCAGGGAUGCAUCUGUGGGUGGUAGACUCUGGUGGUUUCUGCAUGUUCUAAGAUCCUGGAGCCCAGGACGCGAGCCAGUGCCAUGAGACUCACAGUAGCCGUGUACAUGAGGGACGUCCACCCCAGACGACGGUCACCGUAAGGAUGCUUAGGUGUUAAAGGCCUCACGGAAACAUGAAGAAGCCUGUGGGUGGAACCUGCACUUCCAUCGCUUCUGCCCUGCUUGAAGACGCCAGCAAAUACAACGUGGACAUCAAAGCAAAGAGCUGCCUGAGCUUUUGAGAUCCAUACAAACUGAUUGUCUUCCCCCGAAGCAGGCUGUCAUUUUCCCUUACUUAAAGAGGGGUGACUUAUGGAAUAUAAAUUGGAAGAGAAGUUUAUCUGGAUGAAUGAGGUUUGGCU